rnacentral:rRNA from 1 species
GACGAACGCUGGCGGCGUGCUUAACACAUGCAAGUCGAACGGUGAAGCGCCUUCCUUUUUGGUGGGUGUGGAUGAGUGGCGAACGGGUGAGUAACACGUGAGUAACCUGCCCCCUUCUUCUGGAUAAUCGCAUGAAAGUGUGGCUAAUACGGGAUAUUCUGGGUCUGUCGCAUGAUGGGUCUGGGAAAGAUAUUGUUUCGGUGGGGGAUGGGCUCGCGGCCUAUCAGCUUGUUGGUGGGGUGAUGGCCUACCAAGGCGGUGACGGGUAGCCGGCCUGAGAGGGUGGACGGUCACACUGGGACUGAGACACGGCCCAGACUCCUACGGGAGGCAGCAGUGGGGAAUAUUGCACAAUGGGCGCAAGCCUGAUGCAGCGACGCCGCGUGAGGGAUGGAGGCCUUCGGGUUGUGAACCUCUUUCGCCAGUGAAGCAGGCCUGCCUCGUUUGUGGGUGGGUUGACGGUAGCUGGAUAAGAAGCGCCGGCUAACUACGUG